rnacentral:lncRNA from 1 species
CUCCAGUUCCUAAAAUUACAACUCCAACAUCUGCUCCAGUGAAACCACCAGUACCCAAAUUUACAACUCCAACAUCUGCUCCUGUAAAACCACCAGUUCCAAAAGCUACCACUCCAAAAUCUGCACCUUUGAAACCACCAGUUCCAAAAGUUACCACUCCAAAGGCUGCACCUGUGAAACCACCAGUUCCAAAAGCUACCACUCCAAAGGCUGCACCUGUGAAACCACCAGUUCCAAAAGCUACCACUCCAAAGGCUGCUCCUGUGAAAUCACCAGUUCCAGAUCCUCCAAAACUUGCUCCUGUAAAAACACCAGUCCCCAAGGUUACACCAGCAUUAAGCCCAAAAGCUCCAUCUCCUAAAAUUCUACCACCACCACAUCCACCCAAAAAAGCACCAGUUUCUCUACCACCACUAC